UCUAUAUUGGGAAGAUUGGCAUCACUCUGUUUGUGCAUAGAUUUUAGCUAUCUAUCAGGUUUUUUUGGUAGUAAAGUCUUCUAGUUUGCAGGUCUGUGUAGAUUAUAAGGGUCUUGGUGAAACGGUGUUUUACGGCAUGUUGUGAUACCAGUCCAAUAUUUUGCAGUUGAUCUUAUGAAGCCUGGGACCACUGUUAUUCUGCGAAAUGCAAAGAUUGACAUGUUCAAGGGGUCUAUGAGGCUUGCAGUGGACAAGUGGGGACGCAUUGAAGUUACUGAACCUGCAAAUUUUGUAGUUCAAGAAAA
rnacentral:misc_RNA from 1 species